UGAAUCCCUGGAUGAAUCCAUCGGAUUGUGUCUCCAGGAUAUGUGCUUCCUCUCCUCUACGUCCCGUGGACCCGAGGUGCCCCACGUUGCGCCAUCGGAGCAUGCGCGGUAAGGAGGAGCAACAGUCUGAAAGAACAACAAUCACUACAGCAGGGUCAGGAACUAGAGAUGUUCCUGUGAAGCUACACACCUAUAGCAGUACAAAUCCCAGCCCAGCUGCUGCUAUUUCCAGUGGAACUUUAUAUGUCGAUGGUGCCGAGCCCAUGAACUUGGCCAGUCAAAGCGGGGAUGCUGGCAGGAGCCAGCUCCUCUUCGCCAACUUCAACCAGGACAACACGUCCUUAGCUGUUGGCACCAAAUCAGGAUACAAGUUUUUCUCCCUGUCCUCUGUGGACAAACUGGAGCAGAUAUAUGAAUGUACAGACACAGAGGAUGUGUGCAUCGUGGAGCGCCUGUUCUCCAGCAGCCUGGUGGCCAUCGUCAGCCUGAAGGCUCCCAGGAAGCUCAAAGUCUGUCACUUCAAGAAGGGAACAGAGAUCUGCAACUACUCUUAUUCCAACACCAUACUGGCUGUCAAACUCAACAGACAGAGGCUGAUUGUGUGUCUGGAGGAAUCACUUUACAUUCACAACAUCCGAGACAUGAAAGUGCUGCACACGAUAAGAGAGACUCCACCCAACCCAUCAGGAUUGUGUGCCCUUUCCAUCAGCAGCGACAACUGCUACCUGGCGUACCCGGGCAGCGCUACAAUAGGUGAAGUGCAAGUGUUUGACACAGUCAACCUGCGAGCAGCUAACAUGAUUCCAGCCCACGACAGCCCGUUAGCGGCUCUGGCUUUCGAUGCCAGUGGAACCAAGCUGGCCACAGCCUCAGAGAAGGGCACAGUUAUUCGUGUCUUCUCAAUCCCAGAGGGACAGAAGCUCUUUGAGUUCCGGCGAGGAGUCAAGAGGUGUGUGAGCAUCUGUUCACUGGCUUUCAGUAUAGAAGGCCUGUACCUGUCGGCCUCCAGCAACACAGAGACGGUCCACAUCUUCAAAUUAGAGACGCAGAAGGAGAAGUAUGUGCCUGCAGAGGAGCCCACCACAUGGGGAGGUUACCUGGGCAAGGUCCUGAUGGCGUCCACCACCUACCUGCCUUCCCAGGUCACGGAGAUGUUCACCCAGGGACGAGCCUUCGCCACCGUACGCCUGCCCUUCUGCGGACAUAAGAACAUCUGCGCCUUAGCUGUGAUUCAGAAGAUUCCCAGGUUGUUGGUUGCUGCAGCUGAUGGUUACCUGUAUCUGUACAACCUGGAUCCACAAGAGGGAGGGGAAUGCACACUUAUGAAGCAGCACAGGUUAGAUGGCAGCGCCGAGCCACCCAAUGAGAUCCUUGAGCAGGGGUCACAUGAUCGUCCACUUGUGGCCCAAACCUACAGUACUGCUGUCACUAAAGAAACACAGAUGAGCUCUCAUCCCGGUUUUAAGAAACCCAAAUAUGCUAGGUGGAGUGCUGUUGCAUGUACACGUCCCAGGCGCUCCUGCAGCAUCAACGUGACUUAAGAUUAAAUUCUCUCUUGUAAAGAUCUGUAGUGGACAAGCUAUGGGUCGUCUGUUUCCCCAACACGUAGCCUAGCAACACUGGGACAGGUCGGAUCAUGGUGGGAAAUCCUGAAGAAAAAUUGCAACUUGGCCAAACAAAAGAAUUGGGUCUAGUCCAGCAGCUUCCCAGUUCUCCAGAAAUACUCACUCGCUUAGUCACCGUCCCCUUUCCACUGUGAAGGACGGAGGAGCUGAUGUCUGCUUCCCCUGUUCGGCGAGUACUGAGCCUCCACCAGGCGAUACAUCGACUCCAGAUAUAGACGGUGACACAGCUGAAGAUCAUCAGUGACCAGGUUCCUAGUUGUUGCAUGCAGGAUGUGCGUAGCCAGAUUUCUGUGUUCCAUGUAAACACACAUGCCAGAUAUGAUCAACACCGGGAUACUCGUGUCCAUGGGAACACACCGAAUGUUUCUUCUAUAUUUUGCACCAAAUGGUUAUGUAAUUCUGUCCAGUGAACUUUGUGGGAAAUUGUUGGAAAUUACAGACUAAAAAUAAACCACAGUGAGAGAAACGUUCAGUGAUAAAUUCCUUGUAUUGUUUCUGGCCUGUCAAGAAGCUCAAACUCAUCACUAACCAUUCAGCUGCAGUGAUUUCAGUGUUA